AAGUCGUAACAAGGUUUCCGUAGGUGAACCUGCGGAAGGAUCAUUAUCGAAAUAGCAUGACGAGUUGUCGCUGGCCCCCAUGCGAGGGUUGUGCACGCUUGUUGUUCUUCAUUUCUCCAUCUCAUUUGUGCACCUCUUGUGUGGAUCAAUGUCCUUUGCGGACGAAUGGGGGGUUUGCUUUGCAAAAUACUUGCGGGCUUUCCUUGUGAUCUAUAUUUUUUUACAUAUACUCCAGUCACAUAGAAUGAUAUAUAUAUAUAUAUGGAAAUUGUUAUACAACUUUCAGCAACGGAUCUCUUGGCUCUCGCAUCGAUGAAGAACGCAGCGAAAUGCGAUAAGUAAUGUGAAUUGCAGAAUUCAGUGAAUCAUCGAAUCUUUGAACGCAUCUUGCGCUCCUUGGUAUUCCAAGGAGCAUGCCUGUUUGAGUGUCAUUUAUAUAUCUCAAUCCUGCAUCCGUGAAAAAAAGGGUGUCGGGCUUGGACUUGGGGGUUACAGGCUCUGCUAUUGCAGUCUGCUCUCCUGAAAUACAUGGAGGCCCCUCCCCUGUUUUAAAGGUGUGAUAUAUCUAUCUGCAUCUAAAAUCUUGGGGGGUGUUUGCCGCUGAGGGGGAUGGCUUGUUGAUAAACUUGACCUCAAAUCAGGUAGGACCACCCGCUGAACUUAAGCAUAUCAAUAAGCGGAGGAAAAGAAACUAACGAGGAUUCCCGUAGUAACUGCGAGUGAAGUGGGAAGAGCUCAAAUUUGUAAUCUGGCAGUCGUUGGAUUGUCCGAGUUGUAAUCUAGAGAA
rnacentral:misc_RNA from 1 species